GUCUUCGUGGUGUAAUGAUCAGCACACUCGGCGCGUAUUCGAGAGGUCCGAGGUUCGAGUCCCGGCGAGGGCA
rnacentral:tRNA from 1 species